ensembl:lncRNA
CUUUUGCUGGGGGCCCCAGACCUGGACACAGCACUCCAGAUGGUUCCUCACAAGAGCUAAGUAGAGGGGGACAAUCACUUCCCUCUCCCUGCUGGCCACUCCUUUUUUACUGCAGCCCAGAACAUAGUUGGCCUUCCAGGCUGCAAGCGCGUACUGCUGGCUUAUGUCAAACUUCUCAUCCACCAGGACCCCCAGGUCCUUUGCAGGGCUGCUCUCAAGGGGUUCUUCUCCCAGUUUGUAUGAAUACCUGGGAUUUCUCUCGCCGAAGUGCAACAUCUUGCACUUGGCCUUAUUGAACCUCAUUAGGUUCUCAUGGUCCCACUUCUCCAGCCUGUCCAGGUCUCUCUGGAUGGCUUUCCUUCCCUCCAAUGUAUUGACUGCACCACUCAUCAUUAAGUUAACGAACUGCUACAAAUAUCGCAGCCUUUGCAAGCAUGAUUUAUUCUUUCCUAACUGCAAACUUUCUUGUGCAGUCUGAGAUAUAUGCAGUAUAUAUAGAGCUUUUCCUAUAAUUACAACUGUAUGGGCUGAAAGUACAGAACUAGAGAUUAUAGUGCUACUUCUUCAAAGGACAGGGUAUUAGCUUUCUCUCUGUAGACUCUGGUUGCACAGUUGAGUGUCACAUCACAAUUUAAUAGCCCUACUGAAGUUCAUCGUGUUUUAAACACCUAAAAUAAUAUCUUUACAUGAGUAUGAACAUAAAGUGAGCCACAGUUUUUCUGGCACUGCUCACCCAAGGAGACAUAUCUCUUCAGGAUUCCAAUGUGCACCCAGUGUAUUAAGGGUGCGUAUUUCCCUGUGAAAGUGAAACUAGACAGAAUGCUGUUCAAAGAAUAAAGAGAGGUGACAUCAUUCUAUUCGCCUACUAAAUUAGAAGUUUACUCAUUCGCCUUCAUGUCUCAGCUGACCCGAUCUGGAUUUUAACCAGCAAGUAAACAAGUCCCAUUAACAACACUAUUCAACACCACUUCUAGCAAGAUUCCAAUAUGCCUGCAGUUAAACAUUAUUUCAGACAACCAGUGUCCAGUCACUGACUUAAAAACUGUUUUUUUGCAUUUGCCACUUGGAUAAGCAGAAGGACAAAUAAAAAUCUUAUGAAGAAAAAGAAAGACAGCUGCGAAGGGUGCAAUUGGAUCAACUUCAGAAUAAGUCUGUGGAACAGAGUGGCAUUUGCAAAGGCACUGAAGCUCUCUCAUGGCAUCAGGAUGGUGGUGGUGACAGAGCCAUCUGUCCUGUCUUUUUUGCCCUUUCCUGUCUGCCAUUAAUUUUCCAUGAAGGCUCCAAGCGACAGUCUCCUCAUAGUGACCAUACUUGGAAACAAGGUGUAUGACAGGCAGGGGGAGAAUGACAACAAUCCCCACGAGCCCCCUUGUUACAGCUUGGGAAAAAAUAGCUGAGAGUUUGUAAAGUAGUGAAGAAGAGGUGAAAACUGAGGAGAUCUGCUGACAGGAGGAUUCAACAGGCACGCAAUCCCUUGUUACGUGUGCCUUUGAAUUGUGGUGCGGGAAUGGAGGCGUGCUUCUUGUGCACACGCUGCCGACAGUAAACAAGGGAGUAUUUCUGCAGCAGCUGUGUAUGGUUCUGAGCGGCGCCGGCAAUGGUGGAGAUGGUGGCAGUGGG